rnacentral:rRNA from 1 species
GGCGGACGGGUGAGUAACGCGUGGGAAUCUGCCUUAUAGUGGGGGAUAACUCGAGGAAACUCGAGCUAAUACCGCAUAAUCUCUAAGGAGGAAAGGGGGCUUCGGCUCCCGCUAUUAGAUGAGCCCGCGUUAGAUUAGCUUGUUGGUAGGGUAACGGCCUACCAAGGCGACGAUCUAUAGCUGAUCUGAGAGGACGAUCAGCCACACUGGGACUGAGACACGGCCCAG